rnacentral:rRNA from 1 species
GACAGGCCUAACACAUGCAAGUCGAGGGGCAGCACAAGGAGCAAUCUGAGGUGGCGACCGCGGCACGGGUGAGUAACACGUAUGCAACCUGCCUGUAAGCGGGGAAUAACCCGUUGAAAGACGGACUAAUACCGCAUAAUACUAAAUUACUGCAUGGUAAUUAUUUAAACAUUUAUGGCUUACAGAUGGGCAUGCGCAUGAUUAGCUAGUUGGAGAGGUAACGGCUCCCCAAGGCAACGAUCAUUAGGGGUUCUGAGAGGAAGGUCCCCCACACUGGUACUGAGACACGGACCAGACUCCUACGGGAGGCAGCAGUGAGGAAUAUUGGUCAAUGGACGAGAGUCUGAACCAGCCAAGUCGCGUGCAGGAAGAAUGUCCCUAUGGAUUGUAAACUGCUUUUGCAGGGGAAUAAAGUGCAUCACGUGUGAUGUUUUGUAUGUACUCUGCGAAUAAGGAUCGGCUAACUCCGUGCCAGCCGCCGC